rnacentral:tRNA from 1 species
GCUCCCAUAGCUCAGUCGGUAGAGCGCAUCCAUGGUAAGGAUGAGGUCAUCGGUUCAAGUCCGAUUGGGAGCUCCA